rnacentral:RNase_P_RNA from 1 species
AGAUGGCCGGGUGGUUGCUCCUCUAUAUUAGGAGGAGAGGAAAGUCCGAGCUUCAUUCGAGAUAGAUGCCCGUUAACGGCGGGGCGAGGUGACUCGACGGAAAGUGCCACAGAAACAUACCGUCUCUUAUUAGAGUAAUUCAUAAAGAGAUAAGGGUGAAAUGGUGAGGUAAGAGCUCACCGCCUUGGUGGUAACAUCAAGGGCAGGGCAAACCCCAUUUGAAGCAAGGCCAAGCAGAGUACCCGUAUAUAUUUGGGUAGAAAGAGAGCUCGAUCUCUACUCAGGUCGGCCGCAUGACUUAGUUGGCAACAGCUAGGCUAGAUAGAUAAUCACCGUAAGUCAUUAAUGGAGGACGAAGUCUAAGGAUGUAAACUUGCAUGGAUGACUUGUACAGAACUCGGCUUAUAGGCCAUCUUG